rnacentral:lncRNA from 1 species
GUGGUCCCACGAAACUGGGUCUCUUCACAGACAGACCCACAGUUCGCGAGCAUGGCUCAGCGCUGCCCCGCUUCUCCCAGCGCCCCUUCCCGACCUUUGAACGCCUUCACCGCCCUAGGAAAGCGAGAUCUUGUCAGAGAACCUUCCGGCGCCUGUUUCCUGGCAGUGGGGCAUAGUCCAACAGCUGGCUCCCCCAAGAUAGCCAGCGGCCAUUACGCGCUUGGGUCGGGGGAGAUGGAGUCGCAUUUAGCCGCACAGCAGCCUGGAACCUGAAGUUUUCGGCCGCUGAGCGUUCUGGGUGAUUGCGUAGUGCGAGGGCCAACGAAACCUUCUGGGAAGUGUAGUCCAGCAAGCCGCUCACUUUUCGUGAGGCGUCACAUCCUGCUGCUUCACCCUCUGGUGCACGGGAGGACCAACUAUUUCAGUCGCAAGGAGUCUCAUAUCUUCUACCAGCAUCCAUGCAACCAUGACAGGAUAACUUGAUAGCCUGCUAAUAGGGUAAGAUCUCGGACCCUUCACAAUAUUAUUCUUCUCUGGACUUUUAAACAUUUUUCAUUUUUCCAGUUUUACUUACAGAAAUAUCUGAGUGCCAGCUAGGUUUAAGGUUAGAUGUGAGGAAUGUAAAGAAAACCAGUUCAAUCCAACAACUAUUCAAGUUCUUACUACGUGCAGGGAUUUCUG